AAUUUGUUUCACGGCAGGCGCACGGCGGUGGGCUUCGAUGUAAGGUACAGUGGCGGUUCUUCAAGUUUUUUUCUUUGAUAACUGGUCGUUUUGCUUGAACUGUACCAUGGGCAUCUUCAUUCUAUCCCAGGGUUCAAGUAUUAUUCCUGUGUUAUGAAGUGCAGUAAAUCUUCAUGUGUGCAUCGUGGAUGUCUGAAAUGGACUUUUGCUCAAAUAUGAUGAUGUGUUUAUGUGUGUAUCACAGCCUGUUGAAGCUGGUUGUUAACUAGCUCGUGUACUGUUGUGCUUUCUGUUGUUUUCUCUUCCUUUGGCUAUGUUUUCACUGGUGAAUUAUGUGAGUAUGAGGCAGUUCAAGUGUUACUGAAUCAACUUACAAAAUUUCCGUUCAAUAUCUAUGAUUUUGAUGCCAUUUCUUGGUGAAUUCUGUAUUUCUGAAGUAUACUGUGGUGUACUACAAAUAUAUGUCAGCAAAGAUUUUAGAGAAUUUGCUGUGUAUGGCAAAGAGAAAUUGUUAACAAAAUAAACAUAGAAACAUAAAACAGGUGAGGCAUUGACCAUCAGAAGUCAAGCGUUUGCCGGCGUUCACAUUGUAUCAAGCAAAUAGGAAGGCAAGGAUCAGUGCACAUAGGAAAAAAACCGCUAGACUAAAGUCAAUAUAUUUUACCAUCUGAGUGAAUGCACAAUGUAGGCAAGGGUACUGUAGGCGUUUCAACAAUCUUCUCUUAAACUAGAGCUGGGGGGCUAAUUUGGCUGCCAAGCAAUUUUCUCACAAUCUUCUCUUUAACUAGAGCUGGUAGCUAAUUUUGUGGGUACAAUAUAUACCCACUUUGAUUUAUUAUCCUGAAGAUGAAGUUGAGCUCAUAGGAUCUGACUAGCUUCUAAACAUAUUGAACUGUAGUGAUCAUAAUGUGAAAACAAAAUUUAUUUUCCUCCUGUAUAGAUCAUAUGACCUUCGUAAUGAUUCAGUUUUCGCCAAAGAAGAUUCUUCAGUUGUAAAUUUUGCUUAGUUUUUUAUUCUUACGCUAAUUCUCUGACCAUUUCUCUGAACACCUAGUGAUGUUCAAAAUACUGAUGGGAAAUGCAUUACUCCUGGAUACCCAAUGAAAAAUAGAGUUGCACCACUUUUUUGGGUUGUUGUGGUGGAAGUUCCUUGCUGAUAUAGGCUUUUGUAUCUGAAUGUGUGCUACUCUUGCAAGCAUGGAUGUAGUUCGGUUUGGCUUGUGGCGAAGCAGGCACUCUGUAGUUUCUGUAAGUUUUCUAUUAAUUAUUAAAGCUUGGAUCACCAAAGAUUUUAACUUUCAAUAGAAACUUAUCAAUCACUGAAUUCUGAAUUCAGUUCGACAUGUCUCGCACGUGCAUCAUCGGAAUUAUUUGGCAGUUCCUUACAUCACCGCUUCAUUCAUUCAGAAUUAUAAUCUUCAGUUGUAAAUUGAUGGAGUUCAAUAGUAACUUCUCCUAUAUGCCGAUGUAUUUAAACAUUUUUUGAAUUAUUUUAUUCUUUUGCCAUGAGAUUGGUCGGAGGUGGAAUCGGGUGUCAUUGGGGUGGUAGCUGCAUCUUGCUGAGUGGCUGGGUGGCCUCGGCAUUGGAGUGGGUGAAGCAUGCCGUUGGCUUUCAAUCCUGUUUUCUAUCAGGGCCCAAGAUGGCUCGACAUGUGGUCCGUGCUACCUCAGUGAUUGAAAAUGUUGUUGCUUACAUGAGAACGCGAGAUACGGAAGGUACACUUUCUACUACUGUUACUAAAAAUGAAACAACACCUAGAGGUUUAGAGUCAAUGACAGAUGUUUGUAAGAAUAGGAGUAGGAAGACAAUGGGACCAAGGUCGGAUGGUGAUUGUUCGAUAUUUUUAUUUAUUAAAAUGCAGCUCAAAACACAUAGUUUUUCUUUAGUAUUAAAAUAACAAACCCCAUCUUUGAUAUGAAACCUAGCAAAGGUGACGAUAAUAAGACACAACCGAAGUUAAAACUUCAGGAAAAGUGGUGAAUGAUAUGUAAUGUGCACACUAUCUUUAUGGGAUUUGACUUGCGGGAUA